UAGCUCAGAUGGUAAGGGUGUCCAGCUCUGGACUGGAGGUCCUGGGUUCAAUCCCAG
rnacentral:tRNA from 1 species